rnacentral:lncRNA from 1 species
GCUGAAGCCAAAAGUACUAUGAUGAAAAUUUACACUAUGUUAAAGGCGGCUGGAGAACCAACAUCUCUGUAGUAGACGCUUUGACAAUAUAAGCCUUUUGUUGUGAAGCUUUGUCCUCAAGAGCAUCUUCUUGGUCCAUUUCUUCAUCAUUUUCAACAGUGUCCUCAACUGUGGUCUGAGGCACCUCAUCCAAGAACUUAGCUCUAAGUUCAGCAACAUCAAGUUCUGGGUAAAGCUCUCCCACCUUGUCUACUACUUCGAUGUGAGCAAACCUUCUCCAAUAGGCAUCGAAGUGCUAAUAUACUCUUCUGUCAAAUGGAAGUUUGCAUUAUAAUUCUUCACUAACUCCUCACCUACCAGUUGAGCAUCAGCCUUUGCUCUAUCCGUCUUUUGUACAUAGUGCUUCAUAUGGGUAUCAUAAAAUUGGUUCAAAUCCUAGAGUCCAGUGAGUUCCAAGUCGGCUUUCUCUAAAACCUCGAAUGUCAGCUUCUAAUGAUUGUUUGAAGUUUCAACCUUAUUGGUCAGGAAGUCACUUUGCACUGGGAUUCAUAAACCUCCCUAUUCAGAGCCUUGAUCUCUGUUAAAGUAGAAUCCAACUUAGCCAUCCACUCAACUCGCAGGGCCUUCAACUCUUCAGUCUCUAUUUUUAUUUUCUUCGUCUCUUCCUCCAUCAAGGCCAACUUAUCGACUGCCUCCUUAUUGUGCACCAGGAUGUCAUUCAGCACCUAUUGGCUUUCCAAAGCCACGCCAAAGGAUUGAGCACAUUGGCUCACCAAUGUUGCUGUAAGGUCCACCACGUCAUAGGUGGAUACGUACGACUGCUAACUAUCAAUCCAGAACUUAUAAAAAUUAGCAUUGGUGCCUUGGACUUCAGAUGGCAGUAUAUCCACCACUGUUAGAGCAAUCUCCUUAUCUUGUCUGGCUAGGAACUUUUUUUAUUUUACAGGGGUCCUAGCUGCUACUAUAUUUCCCAUGGCCUUCAAAGCUUGCUCUUUUUCCUUCAUAGCCUCUUCCUUGGCCCUCCAAACUCUCUAUUUUAAUAUCUUUCAUCAACUUUGGAGGAAGAGGAGCAGCUUGUUUAGCAGCAGAGGCAACGAUGGUGCCAAACUUUUGAAGAAUGAGCUACUAUGGGAUAAUUUCCUUCCCUUCUAAGGCUCCCCCAUCCUCCCAUUGCCUUUGUCGAUGCUUGCUUUUAUUAACCCUCUGACAUGCCUCCUCGUAACUUUUUAUAGCACAAUCCUUGCUGAGGUGCUCAAGCUUUUCCUUUACAUAUUUAACAAUUCCAGAGGAAGGCCUUAAAGCCCUGGAGCCUACUAUGGUAGUGGUCUUCAAAAUCGAAGCCAUAUUUGGGGUAGGGUAUUUUUUUUCUUCCCAAAGUCACUUGCAAAAAGUAAAGACAAUGUUGAAAUUUGAAAAAGGAACUCUAUGCUUACAAAGACUUCUGUGUUUACCUUUCGAAGUCAUUAGCCCGAAGUCUAAGAAGUACUUGCUUUGGUAGAUAAGAUGGCUGUAGUGGUGCAACUUCAAGGGACGUUUGUAAAUGUCAUCGAUGAUGUCCCACUCUAUUUGAUAUAGAUCGAAGCGGUUCCCAGAAACUACAAAACAAAAAAACAAAUAAAGGCACAAUUAUUUUAACAUAGGCAAUAGAGGGAGACACUAGCAUGCUUCGAAAUCUUGUGUUAGUACAGUGCAAGCUAGAGUUUUGUCCCCCUUCACCAUCUGCCAUCUCUCCUUUGCCCAAAAUCAGGACUCUUUCCAUCCAUUGAUAGAAGAUGGCAGAUCCACCAAGAAGGGGUACUGACUUUCCAAGAAGUCAUAUAGUACCAAUCCUUUGACUCUUCCUUCCCAAAAAUGUGAGGUUGGAAGAGUGUUUGGAAGACUUGCUGAGGCAUAUCCUUGCCAAGCGAGAUCUCCUUCCAAAGAAAGUAAGCCCCUACUAGUUAUCUCUACCCAUUUGAUAAAAGUUGGGCAGAGCUAACAUAAAAGAGCUAAUCACCGCCCUAAAAAUGGGUACAGAAUUAAACGUACAACCAUUUUCAACAGGUAUCACUAAUGGCCACAUAGUCGAGCAUCAAAUAAUCGGCACGUUUGUGGGCUUUCGGGAAUUAUUAGUUCUACAGAGUCUGAGAUCCUAAAUUUAUCCUUAAGUUCAGCUAAUUUGAUGGAGGUUAUGGUAGAAGGAAUCUUAACAGCCUCCCACCCCUUGUCGUCUAUGGGAUUUUCAC